AUUGAACGCUGGCGGCAUGCCUUACACAUGCAAGUCGAACGGCAGCACGGGGGGUAACCCCUGGUGGCGAGUGGCGAACGGGUGAGUAAUAUAUCGGAACGUGUCCUGUAGCGGGGGAUAACCUAUCGAAAGAUGGACUAAUACCGCAUACGACCUACGGGUGAAAGCGGAGGACCGCAAGGCUUCGCACUAUAGGAGCGGCCGAUAUCGGAUUAGCUAGUUGGCGGGGUAACGGCCCACCAAGGCGACGAUCCGUAGCUGGUCUGAGAGGACGAUAGGCCACACGGGAACUAGGACACGGUCCAAACCCCAAGGGGGGGCAGGAGGGGGGAAUUUUGGAAAAGGGGCGGAAGCCUAAUCCAGCCAGGCCGGGGGGGUGAAGAAGGCCUUCGGGUUGUAAAGCCUUUUCGGGGGGGACAAAACGGUUCGGGAAAAACCCACGGACUACGGGCGGUCCCCGCAGAAGAAGCACGGGUUAAUCACGU
rnacentral:rRNA from 1 species